AAAUACUACCCAGUGACCGAUAGCGUAUAGUACUGUGAAGGAAAGGUGAAAAGCACCCCGGGAGGGGAGUGAAAAAGAACCUGAAACCCUGUGCCUACAAGCACCUAGAGCACGUCAAAGUGUGAUAGGGUACUUUUUGUAGAACGGUCCGGCGAGCGAUUGUAUGCAGCAAGGUUAAGGACUUAAGGUCUGGAGCCGAAGCGAAAGCGAGUUUGAAAAGGGCGUUAAGUUGCAUACAAUGGGCCCGAAACCGGGUGACCUACCCAUGGUCAGGUUGAAGUGGAAGUAAAAUUCCAUGGAGGGCCGAACCGACCUCCGUUGAAAAGGCGGCGGAUGAACUGUGGGUAGCGGAGAAAUUCCAAUCGAACCCGGAGAUAGCUGGUUCUCCCCGAAAUAGUUUUAGGACUAGCCUCAAGUUAGAUACCUGGAGGUAAAGCACUGAAUAGCCUAGCGGCCGAGAGGUUAGCGAAGCUUAUCAAACUCAGAAUGCCAGAGUAUUGAUGCUUGGGAGUCAGACAGUGUCAGAUAAAUGUCAUUGUCAAAAGGGAAACAGCCCAGAUCUACAGCUAAGGUCCCAAAGUCAGGUUAAGUGGAAAACGAUGUGAAGAUACGCAGACAACCAGGAUGUUGGCUCAGAAGCAGCCACUCAUUCAAAGAGUGCGUAAUAGCUCACUGGUCGAGCGUCUUUGCGCGGAGAAUUUAACGGGGCUAAACCUGACACCGAAGCUUAGGCAAUCCAGCAAUGGAUUGGGUAGGGGAGCGUUGUAUACGCGGCGAAACAGUAGCGCAAGCGGCUGUGGAGUGUAUAGAAGUGAGAAUGCCGGAAUGAGUAGCGCGAAUGCAGUGAGAAUCUGCAUGGCCGAAAGCCUCAGGUUUUUGGAGGAAGGUUCGUCCGCUCCAAGUUAGUCGGGAGCUAAGGUGAGGCCGAAAGGCGUAGCCGAUGCACAGACGGUAGAGAUUCCGUCACCACCAAAAGAGUUAAGCACAGGGACACAUAAGAAGUCUCAGAGCCGGGUGUUGGUUCCGGUAGAGAUCGAGGGAAGUUAGUACCGAAGUCUGGGAUGGAAGAUGGCGAGAAAAGCUGUGUGUAUUUCUGAGGUGCCCGUACCGCAAACCGACACAGGUAGGUAGGAAGAAGAUUCUAAGGCCAACGGGAGAAGGGUUGUUAAGGAACUCGGCAAAUUGACCCCGUAACUUCGGGAGAAGGGGUGCUCCAGAGAUGGAGCCGCAGAGAAUCGGCCCAAGCAACUGUUUACCAAAAACACAGGUUUGUGCUAAAUCGAAAGAUGACGUAUACGAGCUGACGCCUGCCCGGUGCUGGAAGGUUAAAAGGAGAUGUGCAAGCAUUGAAUUGAAGCCCCAGUGAACGGCGGCCGUAACUAUAACGGUCCUAAGGUAGCGAAAUUCCUUGUCAGGUAAGUUCUGACCCGCAUGAAAGGCGUAAUGAUUUGGGCACUGUCUCAACAGCCCGCCCGGCGAAAUUGUAGUACCGGUGAAGAUGCCGGUUACCCGCGACAAGACGGAAAGACCCCAUGGAGCUUUACUGUAGCCUAAUAUUGGGUUUCGAUGUUGCAUGCACAGGAUAGAUGGGACACAGGGAAACAAGUGCUUUGGCAUUUGUGGAGUGGCCGUUGGGAUACCAUCCUUGCGAUAUUGGAAUUCUAACCUGCGCCUUUGAAUCAAGGCGGGGGACAUUGUUAGGUGGGCAGUUUGACUGGGGCGGUCGCCUCCUAAAGAGUAACGGAGGCGUUCAAAGGUUCGCUCAGCUUGAACGGAAAUCAAGCAAAAGAGUGCAAACGCAGAAGCGAGCCUAACUGCGAGACUGACGGGUCGAGCAGUAACGAAAGUUGGAGUUAGUGAUCCGGUGGUAUGUGAGUGG
rnacentral:rRNA from 1 species